rnacentral:pre_miRNA from 13 species
CUGAUCAGAAGUGUCCUCAGGCCCACGGUGCAGUGCUGCAUCUCUGGUCAACUGGGAGUCUGAGAUGAAGCACUGUAGCUCGGGAAUGGGGGAGUGGCUACAGCUA